AGGGCUUUAUCUUAAUUUAAAGUGUCUGAGUUGCAUUCAGGAGAUGUGGACUGACUUUCUACAAGCCCUACA
rnacentral:tRNA from 1 species